rnacentral:rRNA from 1 species
AUAUUAGCUUGCUAAUAUUGCCAGCUAAGUGGCGCACGGGUGAGUAAUAUAUAGUUAAUCUGCCUUAGAGAUGGGAAUAAUUGUUGGAAACGACUUGUAAGACCCGAUAUGCCUUUAGUACAUAAGUACGCAAGGGAAACAUUUAUGGCUCUAAGAUGAGACUGUACAGUAUCAGAUAGUUGGUAGGGUAAUGGCCUACCAAGUCUAUGACGCUUAACUGGUUUGAGAGGAUGAUCAGUCACACUGGAACUGAGACACGGUCCAGACUCCUACGGGAGGCAGCAGUGGGGAAUAUUGCACAAUGGACGAAAGUCUGAUGCAGCAACGCCGCGUGGAGGAUGACACAUUUCGGUGCGUAAACUCCUUUUAUAUGAGAAGAUAAUGACGGUAUCAUAUGAAUAAGCACCGGCUAACUUCGUGCCAGCAGCCGCGGUAAUACGAGGGGUGCAAGCGUUACUCGGAAUCACUGGGCGUAAAGAGAAUGUAGGCGGGUAAUUAAGUUGGAAGUGAAAUCCUAUGGCUCAACCAUAGAACUGCUUCCAAAACUGAUUACCUAGAGUAUGGGAGAGGUAGAUGGAAUUUCUGGUGUAGGGGUAAAAUCCGUAGAGAUCAGAAGGAAUACCGAUUGCGAAGGCGAUCUACUGGAACAUUACUGACGCUCAGAUUCGAAAGCGUG